CAAAUACUCCCUCCGUCCCAAAAUUCAUGUCUUAGAUUUAUCUAGAUACGGAUGUAUCAAGUCACGUUUUAGUAUUAGAUACAUCCGUAUCUAGACAAAUCUAAGACAAGAAUUUUGGGACGGAGGGAGUACAUA
rnacentral:pre_miRNA from 1 species